UGAAGACAUUGAUGCAAAAUUUAGUGAGGUGUCCAGGCUGUUAAAUACUAAAGAUGCUGAAUAUUUUGAUGACUUUUUAAACGUUUUGAAAAAUGCAGAGCGUAUCACACAAUUAUUUGAUGUUAAGUCAUGGAUUGAGGGUGAUUUGAACAAAGCUGACCACAUCACCCAACCUUUGCACUUUAAAUUUGUUUCUGUGGACGGUGGUGUAAAAGUGUUUUAUAAAGGGGUUCAAUCUCAGCCGUGGUCAGCCCUUAAUGGGAACUUUUUGAAUAAAGCCCCAAGUGGAAAGCCAGAAAUAUUGAAGCCAAAUUUUAGUAAAAUUGAAAUAGAUAAAAAUGUUAAACAAAUUAAAGCUCUGAAACUAAUUUUCAAAAGCAGGAUAGUACACAAAAGUGGCUAGACUUUUACGAAUCGCUCAAUUCCAACAUGGACAGUUUAGAUUCUGGAGUACCGGUAUUUCCUUUAACACUGCUACCAAGACAACCUAUAAGGCAGUCCUUUCCACCAGGACAAGGAAUGGUUCCUGAAGUUCGUGAACUGAUUGAAAAGGAAAACAGACAGCCAUUGGUACAGAUAAAAAAGCGAAAAAACUGGAGACGAAGCUUCUGACCUCAGGGUUGCCAAAAAGAAGAAUGAUAACACUUCUGGUGGGAAAGGGUUUGGCAAAAGGAAGAGAAGAUUUAUAUAUGACACAACACUGUGCAGAUCACGACUGGUCAUGAUUACAGAUGAAGAAAGGAAGAAACAUCUGUGGAUAAAAUUCUUGAUGGACCUGUAUACUUCAUUUAUGCAGUAUAUGCAC